AGGCGACACAUGUAUAUGCCUUA
rnacentral:siRNA from 1 species